rnacentral:lncRNA from 13 species
GUCUUCAGACUUGAACAGCAACUACACGUGAGCUUACUUGGGUCUCUAGCUUACAAUCUGCAAAUCUUGGGACUUCUCAACCUCUGUAAUUGCAUGGCUACUUCCUUGUAAUAAUUCUUUCUCUUUCUGUAUAUGUGCAUCCUGUUGGUUCUGUUUCUCCAGAGAACACUGACUUUUAUACUCUCUAAAUCAAAGUAACACAGGUUCCUUGUGGCAGAGGGAGGAUGCAAGGAAUUUAUGAAAAGAUCAUCCUACCUUGAACUUAAAAUAUGGAGAGACAAAAAAGAAACAUAUGAGAAGUUAAAUAAUAUGUUUAAGUAAUACAUGUCCUUCAUGCAGAUAUCAUCAGAGAAGCCUUUUUGGAGAAGAGAUUUCAGAUGCAUCACAAAGAAUGAAUAAACAGAGAGAUGACAUUCUAAGGGUGAAUGUCACAGAGGAAAUUGUAGCAUGGCAAUGAGUAGAUAUUAAUAAUUCCAGAAGAAGUGUUGACUUGAUCCAGCAGGAAAAUGCUCACAGAUGCCUGCUGUCCCUCAGCCACCUGUCGAUUCUGCCGCCAUGGCCCCCACAAGUCUCUCAUGCUCCUGUCUGCUUUUCUGGUUGCAGGAAAGAAAGCUCAGGGCUCCCACUGAUUCUACAUUAUGUGACAAAAACAGAAACACAGAGAAGAAGGCCACAAGAAGAUGGAAGCAGAGGUUGGAGUUAUGCAGCCGUAAGCCAAGAAAUGCCAGGGAGAAAGAUGCCCUACCCAGAAGAGAGGCAUGGAACGGAUUCUCCCCUGGUGUCUUCAGAAGGAACCAACCCUGCCCACUACUUAACUUUGGACUUCUGGCUUUCAGAACUAUUCUGAGACUGGAAGGAAAUGUGGAGCUUUGGAAACGUGUGACUCACGGGCUGCUAGGGCUGAUUGGUCUAAGCUUUGGAGGCACCGAGGGAGCUUCACUGGAUCCAAAGCCCACCUCUCAAGACCCAGGCACCUGGACAGCAUCCUCCACUGGGGCUGAGCAGCUGCAGCAGCAGGACAUGGGACUGGGAGCUGUUCUGAUCCACGCUGUGCAACUUACAUGACAAGGAUAGAGGGAGAUUCAUUUUGUAAAGCCUUAAUUUAUCUAUAAAUAUAAGGCAUUGAAUUAAUAGAAGAGUGAGUUUAAAAUUUUAUAUGGCGAUGAGCUAUUUUAUAUCUGGAGUACAUUGAAUUUAUCUGCUGAGUUUAGUUAAAUGAGACAACUCAGUAUAAUUGAAAGUGAAAAAUAAAUGAAGUGGCUUCUUGAUUCA